AGUGAACGCUGGCGGUAGGCCUAACACAUGCAAGUCGAACGGCAGCACAGUAAGAGCUUGCUCUUACGGGUGGCGAGUGGCGAACGGGUGAGGAAUACAUCGGAAUCUACUUUUUCGUGGGGGAUAACGUAGGGAAACUUACGCUAAUACCGCAUACGACCUACGGGUGAAAGCAGGGGAUCUUCGGACCUUGCGCGAUUGAAUGAGCCGAUGUCGGAUUAGCUAGUUGGCGGGGUAAAGGCCCACCAAGGCGACGAUCCGUAGCUGGUCUGAGAGGAUGAUCAGCCACACUGGAACUGAGACACGGUCCAGACUCCUACGGGAGGCAGCAGUGGGGAAUAUUGGACAAUGGGCGCAAGCCUGAUCCAGCCAUACCGCGUGGGUGAAGAAGGCCUUCGGGUUGUAAAGCCCUUUUGUUGGGAAAGAAAAGCAGCAGGUUAAUACCCCGCUGUUCUGACGGUACCCAAAGAAUAAGCACCGGCUAACUUC
rnacentral:rRNA from 1 species